rnacentral:lncRNA from 1 species
UUGAAAGCAGUCGACGUUGGCGUGAAGAGGAGAGAGAAACAAGCUUACUUGGUCGAAGAGAUCGCAGAAAAGAAGACCGUCGUACUGAUAUUUCUUCAAUGAGGGAUGCUCCUGAAAAUAGAACCUUGUCAUCUUCAGAGCGAUGGCAUGAUGUUAGCAGUCGUAGUUCAGGGCAUGAAUCUCGAAGAGACAACAAGUGGUCUUCGAGAUGGGGUCCUGAAGACAAAGAAAAGGAUUCUCGAACCGAGAAGAGGACAGAUGCUGAGAAGGAAGAUGCCCCGACUGACAAAGAAGCUGUUGUUAGUGGUGGCCGCAUAGCUUCUGAGCGUGAGAAGGAUUCUCGUGGUAAAUGGAGGCCACGUCAUCGUUUGGAAGUUCAUGCAGGUGGGUCUGCUUCUUACCGAAGUGCUCCAGGAUUUGGUUUGGAGAGGGUGCGAAUGGAGGGAUCAAAUGUGAGAUUUGCAGUGGGAUCAAAUGUAUACAUAAAGUAUAAGGUACAAAAUUAACGUUAAUAGCUUGAGUAAAGAUUCCUGCAUGUCAGACUACAAGGCUACAAUAUUCUUGGUAAUAGGCUAUAAUAGUUUCCAUUGUCUUGAAAGGGAAGUAGCAGAACUUCAUGCCAAGUUGUGAAUAUCAUACAAACACAUGCAUAUAAAAAGAAUUAAACCUUCAAUUAUCCCCAUAGGCACCUUGAGCAUACAGAGUUAAAACAGCCUGGAUUCGAAUAAAGACACCAGAAAAGUUGUAUUUUUCAAACAUGGUCUCAACCUGCAAUCUCAAAUCAAAGCCCAAACCAUUAGAUCCUAACAAUAAUGUUCUUGAAAUUUUCAAUCAAUCAGUAAACAAAUUAAUUGGACUACAAACCAUUUUUUCGCGGUUUUUUGAGGGAUUAAGAGGCGGAUCAGUAAGUAAUAUCUUACAUUCUGUUGGAUUAAUCUGUUUACAAACAACAUAGAACAUAUUUAAGACCAAUCAAAUAAAUAAAUAAGGUGAAUUAGAACUAACCAACAUAAAUUAGAAGGAAAUAUGACCUUUAGUUCAUUGAAAAACGCAUGAUCCCAAACAUGACACAUAUCAUCCCAAUUCUGCACAAUUCCAUUGUUAACUGGAUAUGAUAUAUCCAAUUGAUGUCUCAAAGCAGCACAUGCUUCUCCAACAACAUUAUCCUGACCAGAGUUCAAAAAUUAAAAAACAAAGAAAAAAAUCUCAGAAAAUUUAUUUACAGACCAAAAAUAUUUAAGCUUUAAAAUUUGAAAAAACAAAUUAACAUGAUCUUUGACGUCCAAACCUUUUAAAAGAGGAAAAAGAAAAGGAAAAAUUAUAAAAGAUCAGUUUUUGGACCUUCAACUCUUGUUCCACGAGAGAUUCCUCGUACCGUAGCAUAGGUCUCCCGACCACGCAUGGGAACACCGAUGUCGGGAAAUUUUCUCCGGCGAAAUCACAUUUUACGUACUGUAAUCGAAGAAAAAAUAGAUCUAGUGAAGUAAGCUAAAAGAAAUGAAAUACAACAAAAAAAAAAAGAAAAGAUUUUUAUAUAGAAAGCUUUGAAUAGCUUUAAAAUGUUUUAAUGCGGAGACUAAUGCAAUGUCAACGUGUGAAUCAAGACGGAAAAUCAACAAAAUAAAAAAGAGAGGAAGAAAACGAAUUACGCCGGUGCCGUUGUCGCAUACGAUGACGUUUCGGUUGUCCAUAGCCGGUGGAAUGUUGGGUUGGGUGCUUGCUUGAAGCAGAGGGUCGUCAAAUUGCAGGAAAGAAAGAAUCCGGCGUCUGGUUUCCCAGGUUGUCUUUCCAAAUAGUUUAAAAUGUCAAAACGACUUCGUUUUGCCUGGACCCAUUUGAUCGCUUAAUUUUGGACCAUUUAGUUGGUUUGAGCCCAAAAAGUCUUCGAAUACGACGUAGUUUAAAGCAGCCCUCUGUAAAACCAUAUUAUUAUACUACCAAGCUGGGGUUUUCUCCUUACUCGAGCAAAAGGAGCCCAAGAAAAUACAGCUGCAAAAAUGGUAGAACCAUUGCUUCCUCUUCUUCAAUCUCUCUCUCUCUCUCUUUUUCGUUACUGAAAUCAAUCUAACCUAAAAAAUGUGUUGUUUUGAAUCUGUAGGCUCCAAAACGUGGUGUCGAAGCUCCCAUAGCUGCUGCUAAGAAGAAAACGGUACUUUUGCUUUGUCACAUUGCAUUAUUUCAUGGUUUCAAAUCUUUUUUUUCUUUUUUUUGGGGGGGGGGGGUUUGUUUUAUAUCUUUGUUUGGGGUUUGGUGUUGUUUUUAGGACAAGGUGGUGAACCGGUUGUUCGAAAAGAGGCCGAAGCAGUUCGGGAUUUGGGGGGAUUUGCCACCAAAGAAGGAUCUGACACGGUUCGUUAACUUCCCCAAAACCGUUAGGAUUUAGAGGCAGAAGAGGAUCCUCAAGCAGAGGCUUAAGGUCUCACCUGCUUGGAAUCAGUUCACCAAGACACUCGACAAGAAUCUCGGUACAAAUACCAUUUGCUCCUUGCUAUUAGUUCUAUUCAAGUUUUUACAUUACAUAUGUCAAGAUGAUAGUAAUGGUUACAUUGGUGAACUAAAAGUUAUGUUGGGGCUGCGUCAAACUUGUUCAAGAUGCUUCUCAAGUACAGGCCUGAGGACAAAGCUGCGAAGAAGGAGCGUCUCUUGAAGAAGGCUCAAUCAGAGGCUGAAGGAAAGCCUGCCGAGUCUAAGAAGCGCAUUGUUGUGAAAUAUGGUCUCAACCAUGUCACCUAUCUUAUUGAGCACGUAUUAUCACUUUUGAUCAUUUAUUUGCUAUGGAAGUGUGUUUCCAUUGCUACUAGUAUCUAUAGCGGGUCAUUUCUUAUUGUCUCAAAGUAAAUUUUCCUUGCAGAACAAGGCACAGCUUGUUAUAAUUUCUCAUGAUGUGGAUCCCAUUGAGUUGGUUGUUUGGUUGCCAGCAUUGUGCAGGAAGAUGGAGAUCCCAUACUGCAUUGUCAAGGGAAAAGCACGCUUGGGAGCGGUAUUGCCUGUUAUCUUGUAUUCUCAGAACUUUUGAAGUUGAGUUAUGGAUGCAAAACUAAAUAUUUGUACCUUUAUGCUUGAUAGAUUGUUCAUAAGAAGUCUGCAUCAGUUUUGUACUUGACUACUGUCAAGAAUGAAGAUAAGUUGGAAUUCAGCAGGAUCUUGGAAGCCAUCAGGGUGGUGUAAAGUUUCAAUCUGCUGUAUAUUUGUCCUUUUGAAUUGUUGGAUGGUCUGAUUUCAUUUGGGGUUCUUUCUUUCUUGUUACAGGCCAACUUUAACGACAAGUAUGACGAAUACAGAAAGAAAUGGGGUGGUGGUAUCAUGGGCUAAAAAUCCCAGGCGAAAACCAAGGCCAAAGAGAAGUUACUUGCCAAGGAAGCUGCCCAGAGGAUGACCUAAGAGCUAAUUUAGAAUUCAUUUCCUGUUUCUUAGACAUUAUUGUCUGAGGUUAUCAGCCUCUUUCAUUUUUGGCUAUUUUAAAGCAGUUCAUGAUAAAAGCAGAGUGUUCCUUUCCUUUAAAGGCAGGUUAUAAUUGAAUUUUCUUGUAAUGCUGUUUGAGGUUGAGUGGUUUUAUUCAUACUUGAAGCAUCCACCUUUAUUCAUGAACUGUUUAGGGAUAGACUUAUUGUAACUGACCCAUCCUUUAUUAUUUUAUUACAGCUCAAUCAUGGUGUUUUAAUAUAAUUUUGUGGGUCCUAUCUCAUCUGAAUCUUUUGAUGGCUUGCAGCUGAUGGCUUUGCAGUUUCACUGAUCUUGUAGGUGGAAUUUAAUAAGACCAUGAUAUCCAACAGCUUUAGACUUGAAAAAGAUAGAAGUGUGUUAUGCUUGAGAUUCUUUUGUUAACUCUGUUUCUUACUUUCUUAAUGGUUUCACCCAUCAGAACCUUAUACCUCGGAAUGUUACUUUAAUCCUCCUUGUUUCCACCUCCAAUGAAGCCCACCCGAAGCAGCUGAUUUAACACGGCAUGUAGAAAGUCAUUUGUGGAAUAGAUUUUCGGUUUUGUUGUCUGCCAUUUGUCUUUUUAACUAGAUCUAGUAAUUUAAAUUAUAUUUUAUAUAAAAAUUACAUAUUAUAAUUUAUAUCGACAUAAAAAUAUAAAAUAUAAAAUUAUUUUUAAAAUUUUAUAUCGUAUUAUUUUUAUAUUUUUUAUUAAUAUAAUGUUUAUAUUAUAUUAUGAUAUUUUAGAUUGUCUAAGUAUCCGUUUAUAUUUUAUCGCAUUUUUGAUGCGAUGAAAUUAGUUUCAUCACAUUAUUAGUUGAAUUUAAAUAUUAAUUUUAAUAAAAUUAAAUUAACAUUAAUUUUUUAUUAAAUUUUUUUAAUUACAAUUAUAAUAUUUUUAAUCAUAAUUAUAAUCAUUUUUACUAUUUUUAAUUUUAUCUUAAUCAAUCUAAUAGUAUAAAACUUAAAUAUCCUUUUAACACUGUUACUGAAGAAGCAGGGCAAUCAUAUUUCAAACUUAACAUCUAAUUGGGCCCAGUUUUCACAACCUGAUGGACCACACUCACCGCACCACUUCACCCGUCCUAUUGCUGUUUUUUACUUUUUUUUUUCUUUGUCCGAAUUCGAAAUUAUUUUUUAUUUAUUAAGGUAAAAUAAAAUAUCUAACAACAAAAAAUAGUGCUAAAAAAGAAAAUAAAUUAAGGAGAUAAAAAAUAAAAUAAAUUUCUACAGGCAUUCAACUACUAAAAAAUUUUCUAUUUGAGAAAAUUUACUAGUAAAUUGAAAUUUAUAAUACACCAGUACUCCUUUAAAAAAAAAAAAAUUACAAGUAAUAUAUAAGGAGAUAAAAACACACUAUCCGAUAGAUUUUUUCUUUUGAAAUCUAAGUUUGUGUUAGUUCUGAUCAAAAUCAGACCCAAACCUUCAAUUUCAGAAACCCUAGCAAUUUCUCUCUCUUGCUCUCUGCAAUCUCUCUCUCUCUCUCUCUCUCUUUGUCCCCUUUUUCAGAACCUUAAACGCCGCCGUGUCUCCGCUGCGAUCCCCGCCUUUUAGAUUCUCUCAAUUUUAAUUUUCUCGAUGGCUGACGGAAAAUUCAAUCUAGCUGAUGAUCUCCUCCCCUCCAAAACGGACUCUGACCUUUCGUCCCUCAAAGGUAUUCUGCAUUUUCUUUUCCUUUUUUUCAAUUUAUUUACUUUUUUUUUCAAUUUUCCUUUUUUUCCUCCUUCUAGCUUUUUGCAUGCCUAUUGUAUUGGUGUCCCAUUUCAAUUCAAUCGUCCUUUUACAAAAAUCUUUUCUUUAUUUGAAUUUUAAUAGUUCAAUUUAAUUUAUUAAUUCUAAAUUUCAGAUUUCGUUAAUGAUUUAUUUGUUUUUCCCUAAGAUCUCGUUUAAUUUGUUUAAAGGCUUUUAGUUCAUUUUACUCCGUAGUAAUUCCAAGAUUUUCUCUAUAAAAGGAAAAAAAAAAAAAAAAGAAAGAAAUUCACGAUUUUUUCUAUGUAGAAUUGUAUUAGCUCAAACGUUCAUUUCAAAUGCCCCAGUGAUUAAAAGAAAGAUCGUAACUUUUUAUGAAAAAGAAGAUUACUUUAGUUGCUUAUCAUAAUUAUUGGAAAAUUUUAACUGUCAAUGAAAGGUUGACUUGUUUCAAUUAGGAAACUUGGCAGUUCAAGCUUAAGGCAUUUGAUAUUUUAGGGACUUCAUAAAAACAAGCCUGAAACUUGAGGUUAGGGGAUUUCUGCCUAAUUCACCUAUGUAUUAAUUAUCUUAUUUUCUUUUAUUGUUGGGAGAAGCUUGGGAUGGGAACUUGGAGGAGAACGGACUCACGGGUCUGCUUGAUGACACCAAAGGUAAUAAUAUUUGUCUUAUGUUGAAAUUUUGUAUUUUUAAAAACCUGAGCAGCUCUUUUCAUAAAAAAUUUAACCUUUUUUUUUUUGUGGCCAAUAGAUCAAGCAACUUCAGAGAGCAGCAUACCUCUGUCCCCACAAUGGCUUUAUGCUAAACCUGCUGAUGCUAAGAUGUUAGCUGCUGGAGCUUCUGGGGUAUGGAUCUUUAAUUUCUUUUAUUCAAUGUUUUUGGGGUACUUGCUUUCAUUUCCAUAUCAGCGUUUAAUGUGUUGGUUUCUAGUUUUAUUUACCCUUAUGUGCUGGAAGUAUGGGUAAAUAGUAUAUCUGAUUACAUGUAAAUUAGUUAGACUAAAUUUGAAGAAAUUGGUAUAAUUUUCAUUGUUUAAUGCUCAUCACAAAUUUAGAUUUGACUUUUAGCUUGUGACUAUUUUUCAUUUUGGUUUGCAUAGUUUCUGUGGUAUAAUUUGUUUACUUAACAGGAUAUAAGAGCACCAAAUUCGUUGCCCCAUGGGGCCUCUGCUGAUCCCAAUUUGAAAGAUAGUUGGCGUUUAGAUGGGUCUCAGGACAAGAAAGACUGGAGGAGGACUGCACGUGAUCUUGAAAGCAGUCGACGUUGGCGUGAAGAGGAGAGAGAAACAAGCUUACUUGGUCGAAGAGAUCGCAGAAAAGAAGACCGUCGUACUGAUAUUUCUUCAAUGAGGGAUGCUCCUGAAAAUAGAACCUUGUCAUCUUCAGAGCGAUGGCAUGAUGUUAGCAGUCGUAGUUCAGGGCAUGAAUCUCGAAGAGACAACAAGUGGUCUUCGAGAUGGGGUCCUGAAGACAAAGAAAAGGAUUCUCGAACUGAG